AUGGGAUGGGAUGCCAUAAGGGCGGAGGCCUUGCUGCACGAGAUCCCCAACCCCAGUCCGCUCAACACCAUGAUGGACCCUUCCUCUUCCUCCACCGCCUCCGCUCCGGCUGCCUCCACCCACAGCAGCGAUAGCGGGGGGCCCGCCGCCGCCCUGUCGGCAGCGGUGGCCACGGCAUCCCGGCGGUUUCAGCACCUGCUGGACCGGUCAACUCCGCACGUGGGCCGCCGUUGGCUGGGCCUCGCUGGGGUAGUGUUGGUGUACGCGCUGCGCGCGUGGUUCGUCGGCGGCUACUACAUCGUGACCUAUGCCCUCGGCAUCUACCUCCUCAACCUCCUCAUCGCCUUCCUGUCGCCUCAGGUCGACCCCGAGCUCGCCGAGGUGCUCGGCGAGGGGCCCGCGCUCCCCACGCGCUCCUCGGACGAGUUCCGUCCGUUCGUCCGCCGCCUGCCUGAGUUCAAGUUCUGGUGCGAUCCUUUGCUCUUGCCUGCGUAA
rnacentral:rRNA from 1 species